UACGUAGGGGGCAAGCGUUGUCCGGAAUCAUUGGGCGUAAAGCGCGUGUAGGCGGUCCGGUAAGUCCGCUGUGAAAGUCGGGGGCUCAACCCUCGGAUGCCGGUGGAUACUGUCGGGCUCGAGUGCGGAAGAGGCGAGUGGAAUUCCUGGUGUAGCGGUGAAAUGCGCAGAUAUCAGGAGGAACACCAAUUGCGAAGGCAGCUCGCUGGGACGUUACUGACGCUGAGACGCGAAAGCGUGGGGAGCAAACAGG
rnacentral:rRNA from 1 species